rnacentral:lncRNA from 1 species
AAAAUUGAAAUCCUAUGCUACGGUCUUGUAGACAAUCACGUGCCCAGAUCUUGCUUUAAUUUGUUGCUGCUGAAAUCACUGCUUUUGAAUCUCCUGACCCGGCCCAAUCCUACAAACAAACAUGCACAACAUGGGUGAUUAUUCCCUACAACAGAUCGCACAAACUGAUUGUAUAGCAAUGGUAGUGACUACUUCCCUUUUCUCCUGGUGCAGUUGAUGCAUCUAAGAGAUUCCUUUUGCUCUCAACUCACUAUCUGCUGCACGAAGGAUUCACACAAAAUCAGUAACCACACCAAUGCUUAACAAUUAUAAGACACACAGACAGUUUGAAACAAAUCUACAAUUAAUCUAAAACUCCCUUUAGUUCAGAGGACUGCUCCUAGCCUGCUCCAACUAAUCAGCAGAUCCACUUUUCACUUGUAACAUCCUACACUACAUUCUUGUAAACUGAUGCACUAGCUAUAUGAUAUCAAUUAAAUCAGACCUGCACAGCUACACCAAAAUAGCAGAUACUUCAAAUGAAUCAGCAGAUACACCAAAAUCAGUUCACGCAUAGCUAGCUAAGUGGCAUGCAAAGGUAUGUAGUCAAUCACUCUGGAUAAAACUGAAAUCGGAAACUGCUUUCCCAAUAAAAUUGAAAUGAUAUUUUUAACCAGGGAAGAAAAUGUUUCAAUUCAAGGCCUUAGUACAAAACAAUUCCAAUUCAGAAUCAUCAUUUGCAAGUGAAAAAGAAAGGAAAUUCACAAUCAUAAUUAUGCAGCAGUUUAAAAGAACAGAAGGCAGUAAUCAGAGAAUUGUGAUCCCAGCUUAAACAAACCCAUUCAGAAAUCAGAGUGGUUAAUUCUAGUUUACAUAAACUGUCAUAUCAGAAUCAACACUCCUAAAGUCUAUUCUCAUGAGAUCCCUUGCUCAACUUCUACACUGUUGCAGCUAGUUGUAACUCACUUUCUACUAAGCACGACCUGUGAAUGACAAUCAAGACAAAAACUACCCAAAUAUAAUUGGUGAGUACAAUUCAGAUUUAGAACUGAGAUAAGAACACACUCUCAACAAGAAAUAUGGCUUUAGAGGUAGCCAUACAAAGCUCACAAAAAAAAUCAGAUCUAUCUCUGGAAGCUCAAAACACUCAAAAAAUGUAAAGGUGUGGAAGGGAAAUUCUCCCUUCUCAGUACAAGGCUGGAUAGUCUUUCAGACCACCACCACCUAAGAUGCUACCAAGCACACAAACCUCUUUCCAAAUUUCCAGAAACCAAAGAGUGAACAUGCUUCUCAAACCAGAUUGGCUAUGCUAAGUAAAGGCAGGCAAGACAGAACAGGACAGCAAUCCAAUUCAAGAGGCUCUAGAUCAGACUUUAGAUUAGAUCAUAAAAACAAGGAAAAGCUCAAAUUAAGAACAACUGAUCAGAGUUUACUUGAUGUAGACACAACCAAGACAGCCAAGAAGACAAGCAAAUAAAAACAAGCUAUUUAGAACA